rnacentral:rRNA from 1 species
AAUUCGAUGCAACGCGAAGAACCUUACCUGGUCUUGACAUCCACAGAACUUUCCAGAGAUGGACUGGUGCCUUCGGGAACUGUGAGACAGGUGCUGCAUGGCUGUCGUCAGCUCGUGUUGUGAAAUGUUGGGUUAAGUCCCGCAACGAGCGCAACCCUUAUCCUUUGUUGCCAGCGAUUAGGUCGGGAACUCAAAGGAGACUGCCAGUGAUAAACUGGAGGAAGGUGGGGAUGACGUCAAGUCAUCAUGGCCCUUACGACCAGGGCUACACACGUGCUACAAUGGCGCAUACAAAGAGAAGCGACCUCGCGAGAGCAAGCGGACCUCAUAAAGUGCGUCGUAGUCCGGAUUGGAGUCUGCAACUCGACUCCAUGAAGUCGGAAUCGCUAGUAAUCGUGGAUCAGAAUGCCACGGUGAAUACGUUCCCGGGCCUUGUACACACCGCCCGUCACACCAUGGGAGUGGGUUGCAAAAGAAGUAGGUAGCUUAACCUUCGGGAGGGCGCUUACCACUUUGUGAUUCAUGACUGGGGUGAAGUCGUAACAAGGUAACCGUAGGGGAACCUGCGGUUGGAUCACCUCCUUACCUUAAAGAA